UGGGGAAUAUUGCACAAUAGGGGAAACCCUGAUGCAGCGACGCCGCGUGAGCGAAGAAGUAUUUCGGUAUGUAAAGCUCUAUCAGCAGGGAAGAAACUGACGGUACCUGACUAAGAAGCACCGGCUAAAUACGUGCCAGCAGCCGCGGUAAUACGUAUGGUGCAAGCGUUAUCCGGAUUUACUGGGUGUAAAGGGAGCGUAGACGGAUGUGCAAGUCUGGAGUGAAAGCCCGGGGCUCAACCCCGGGACUGCUUUGGAAACUGUAGAUCUAGAGUGCUGGAGAGGUAAGUGGAAUUCCUAGUGUAGCGGUGAAAUGCGUAGAUAUUAGGAGGAACACCAGUGGCGAAGGCGGCUUACUGGACAGUAACUGACGUUGAGGCUCGAAAGCGUGGGGAGCAAACA
rnacentral:rRNA from 1 species